UACGUAGGUGGCAAGCGUUGUCCGGAUUUAUUGGGCUUAAAGGGUGCGUAGGCGGCUUUGUAAGUCAGUGGUGAAAUAUGGCAGCUUAACUGUCAAGGUGCGAUUGAUACUGCAGAGCUUGAGUACAGAUGAGGUAGGCGGAAUUGACGGUGUAGCGGUGAAGUGCUUAGAUAUCGUCAAGAACACCUAUAGCGAAGGCAGCUUACUAGGCUGUAACUGACGCUGAGGCACGAAAGUGUGGGGAUCAAACAGG
rnacentral:rRNA from 1 species